rnacentral:tRNA from 1 species
GGGGUUGUAGCUCAGUGGGGAGAGCGCCGGUUCGGCAGACCGGAGGUCGAGGGUUCGAAUCCCUUCUUCUCCACGA